UGCAGGACACAUGAACAUCGACAUUUCGAACGCACAUUGCGGUCCUUGGAUUUCCAAUCCCGGACCACGCCUGGCUGAGGGUCGGCCACACUCAAAUACUGGGCCCGUGUGUCUCGUCAUCAGACGACGCAGGUCGGGCCCGAGCUUGGGGGACCCCCUCCAUCUCGCCUCUUGAAGAGAGGGGGUGGGUCCGCUCCCGAAUGGUUGUCAGGCCUCGCGAGGUUGUCUCUGCGGACGGAGAGCGGCUGGGCUUGAGAGACGCAGUACCUAUGCGGCCCCCGCCCAGCACGGCUCGUCCCGCUAGCGACCUCUUUUGCGACCUGUUCUCUAAAACCCGACCUCAGAUCAGGCGAGACUACCCGCUGAAUUUAAGCAUAUCAAUAA
rnacentral:rRNA from 1 species